AACGAACGCUGGCGGCAGGCCUAACACAUGCAAGUCGAGCGGACCCUUCGGGGUUAGCGGCGGACGGGUGAGUAACGCGUGGGAAUAUGCCCUUCUCUACGGAAUAGUCCUGGGAAACUGGGGGUAAUACCGUAUACGCCCUUUGGGGGAAAGAUUUAUCGGGGAAGGAUUAGCCCGCGUUGGAUUAGGUAGUUGGUGGGGUAAUGGCCUAUCAAGCCGACGAUCCAUAGCUGGUUUGAGAGGAUGAUCAGCCACACUGGGACUGAGACACGGCCCAGACUCCUACGGGAGGCAGCAGUGGGGAAUCUUAGACAAUGGGGGCAACCCUGAUCUAGCCAUGCCGCGUGAGUGAUGAAGACCUUAGGGUUGUAAAGCUCUUUCAGCUGGGAAGAUAAUGACGGUACCAGCAGAAGAAGCCCCGGCUAACUCCGUG
rnacentral:rRNA from 1 species